CCUACGGGUGGCAGCAGUGGGGAAUAUUGGACAAUGGGCGAAAGCCUGAUCCAGCCAUGCCGCGUGUGUGAAGAAGGCCUUCGUGUUGUAAAGCACUUUCAGUGGGGAAGAAAGCCUUGGGGCUAAUACCCUCGAGGAAGGACAUCACCCACAGAAGAAGCACCGGCUAACUCCGUGCCAGCAGCCGCGGUAAUACGGAGGGUGCGAGCGUUAAUCGGAAUUACUGGGCGUAAAGCGCGCGUAGGCGGUCUGAUAAGCCGGUUGUGAAAGCCCCGGGCUCAACCUGGGAACGGCAUCCGGAACUGUCAGGCUAGAGUGCAGGAGAGGAAGGUAGAAUUCCCGGUGUAGCGGUGAAAUGCGUAGAGAUCGGGAGGAAUACCAGUGGCGAAGGCGGCCUUCUGGACUGACACUGACGCUGAGGUGCGAAAGCGUGGGUAGCAAACAGGAUUAGAUACCCCAGUAGUC
rnacentral:rRNA from 1 species